GGCGUAAAGAGCUCGUAGUGCGGUUUGUCGCGUCUGCUGUGAAAGCCCGGGGCUCCACCCCGGGUGUGCAGUGGGUACGGGCAGGCUGGAGUGCAGUAGGGGAGACUGGAAUUCCUGGUGUAGCGGUGAAAUGCGCAGAUAUCAGGAGGAACACCGAUUKCGAAGGCAGGUCUCUGGGCUGUUACUGACGCUGAGGAGCGAAACAUGGGGAGRRGAACARGAUUAGAUACCCUGGUAGUCCAUGCCGUAAACGUUGGGCACUAGGUGUGGGGGACAUUCCACGUUUUCCGCGCCGUAGCUAACGCAUUAAGUGCCCCGCCUGGGGAGUACGGCCCGCAAGGCUAAAACUCAAAGGGAAUUUGACGGGGGGCCCGCACAAGCGGCGGGACAUGCGGAUUAAUUCGAUGCAACGCGAAGAACCUUACCAAGGCUUGACAUACACCGGAUCUGCAGCAGAKAUGUUGUKUCYCUUCGGRGCURGUGUACAGGUGGUGCAUGGUUGUCGUCAGCUCGUGUCGUGAGAUGUUGGGUUAAGUCCCGCAACGAGCCGCAACCCUCGUUCUAUGUUGCCAGAACUUUUUUUUUUUUUUCUUCAUAGGAGACUGCCGGGGUCAACUCGGAGGAAGGUGGGGAUGACGUCAAAWAAUUYAUGCCCCUUAUGUCUUGGGCUUCACGCAUGCUACAAUGUCCGGUACAAUGGGUUGCGAUACUGUGAGGUGGAGCUAAUCCCAAAAAGCCGGUCUCAGUUGGGAUUGGGGUCUGCAACUCGACCCCAUGAAGUCGGAGUCGCUAGUAAUCGCAGAUCAAAAACGCUGCGGUGAAUACGU
rnacentral:rRNA from 1 species